UGGGGAAUAUUGGACAAUGGGCGCAAGCCUGAUCCAGCCAUGCCGCGUGAGUGAUGAAGGCCCUAGGGUUGUAAAGCUCUUUCACCGGUGAAGAUAAUGACGGUAACCGGAGAAGAAGCCCCGGCUAACUUCGUGCCAGCAGCCGCGGUAAUACGAAGGGGGCUAGCGUUGUUCGGAUUUACUGGGCGUAAAGCGCACGUAGGCGGACUUUUAAGUCAGGGGUGAAAUCCCGGGGCUCAACCCCGGAACUGCCUUUGAUACUGGAAGUCUUGAGUAUGGUAGAGGUGAGUGGAAUUCCGAGUGUAGAGGUGAAAUUCGUAGAUAUUCGGAGGAACACCAGUGGCGAAGGCGACUCACUGGAUCAUUACUGACGCUGAGGUGCGAAAGCGUGGGGAGCAAACAGG
rnacentral:rRNA from 1 species